GAGACAUAUUUACUUCAAAUGAUGCCUUUAAAGUUUGAAAAGAUUUUUUCUAAUUCAAAUGUCGACUUUUUGUUACAUGAAAAAAGAUACUUAUUUCAACCCCUCGACUAUAUUGAUACACUUAGUAUGUGGAGUUACUUGUCAAUAGCUGGCGAUGAAACUUUUAAACGCCUUUAAGGGCUGAGAAGGUAAAAAUUAGAAGUCUGCAGACUGCAACGUAAAUCGAUUUCAACACGUUAUGGCUUCUCGAAUAUAUUUAGUUUCCGAUUGAAAUGAGAAUAAACUGAACUUAUAUAUAAAGUGUUUACAAUUAACUUUUUAAACUAGAAAUACUCCAAAGGAGGUUCUCCAAACGCAAGUUAAGCAAAG